rnacentral:tRNA from 1 species
UCCCUGGUGGUCCAGUGGUUAGGACUCUGCACUUCUGCUGCAGGGGACCACAGGUUUGAUCCUUGUUCAGGAAA